AUUGAUAUUCUAAGAGGAAUUAAAGUUUUUUGAUUCUGUAACUUUUGGUUAGAAUAUGAACAGAGAUUUUUUUUUAUCAGGGGCUUUAAGAAAAAAUGUUUCUAUUCCAAUGACUCCUGUUGUUGUUACCUUAAGGAGGAAGAUUAUCCAGGAGCUAUUCAGUUGUGCCUUGAAUGUCAAAAAGCUGCCAGCACUUUUAAACAUUACAGUUGUAUAAGUGAACUGAAUUCAAAGCUGCAAGAUACUUUGGAACAGAUUGAGGAACAGCUGGACGUAGCUCUUUCCAAAAUCUGCAAGAAUUUUGACAUUAACCAUUAUACCAAGGUUCAACAAGCUUAUCGACUUCUUGGAAAAACACAGGUUUGUUACAAAAGGAUGUUUGGAUUUUUCCUUAAUCAGGAAUUUGUUGUCCUUCAUGAUUAAGUCUGAAUAUUAUUAAUCUCAUGUCCUUAAAAAGUUUUAUUUAACGAAGUACAUUUUUAUUCUGAAUUAACAGUGAUAAAAUGGUUGUUCUUGUAGACUCAGAGGGUAUAUAAUGUGGUUAAAACAUUACAGUAGUUUGUUUUGAACUAUGAAGUACUUGUCAGGUUUAAUAUUUUCACAAUUUUAUGUAGAUUUUCCAAUAAGUAUAUUAUAAGAUAAUUCAGUGGGAGACAACAUGUAGUCUCUUUUAACUCAGCUCUUGGUUCUGAAACAGGACUUCCUAAUUUGCAGCUUCACGUGUUGUUAGAUAGCCAGCAUGACUCCCUCAAAAUGAUAUGUCAGCAUUGUACAUUUUGUACCUUUAUCUGUAAAACAAGUCCAUUUUAUUUAUCACAUAUUUCAGAGGGUCCUUUUAUCCCCAAAAUGUCAUAACUUCUCUCAUAAUAUAUGGCUUUUCAUACUCUUACUGUUCAAGGGCUUCCUUGAAAAGCUUGAAACAGGUGCCAUGGUUUUGAAAGUUAAUUGUAUCUUUUGUUUGUAUAGGAUUAUAUGUUUACCUAUACAACAUUUAAUGUGAUAGAUGUAAAUGUUUUCUUCCCUUAAACGGUCCCCUCUUUUAGAAGGAAGUUUAAGAUUUUGCUAAACAAUUUAAACUCUACAUUUUGAAAUCUGAAUAAAGAAAUUUUACUGUU
rnacentral:lncRNA from 1 species